AUGGGGGGGGGGACCCUAGAAAGCAGACGGGCUUUCGAAUCCGUUGUGAGCCGGGUCCAGGCUCUGCCGCAGGCCACCUGGCUGCACCUCCAGGUGCUCAAAAGUGCGAGGCCCAAAGCAGGGGAGGAGUGGGCAGCCCUGCACGGCCUCCCACCAGCAAGGGCGCGACGCUACUUGCCUUCGGGGUCCCAAGGGCAGGGAGCGCGACGCCGUGCCGCCCGGCCUCCCGCAGGCGCUAGGCUUCCGACCACGCGCUCGGCUGCGCCCUCUCGCCCGACGGCAACGGCGGGACCUGAGGAGAAGCCGCCCAGGGGCCGUCGCCUUCUAGCGCCAGAGUCCGCGGGGCAUCCGGCCCGCGCUCGGCCUCACCCCUUCCCGCAACGGCGGGCGCAGGCGGCGCAGGCGGGCGCAGGCCCUCCCCCGCAGGCGGCGGGCGCGCAGCUGCGCAGGGCCUGCCGGGAGCACGUGCCCACAGCCUCCCGCCCCGCGCGCCCUAGCUUUGUUACGAGAGGCGGGGUCUGGGUCACUUCCGCCCCCGCCCCGCGGGCCCCGCCCCCGCCCCGCAGGCCCCGCCCCCAGCGCGUCCGUAACCCAAGGCAACCGUCGCCCUCGCCCGCCCGCGGGACUCGGCUGCCGGGCGCCUUCCAUCCCGUGGGCCCCACAGGAGGGUGUGAGCGGCCGCGGCCGCUCCCCCGCCCCCAGGGCAAAGCCCCAGACUCCGCAGGCGGCAGAGCGAGAGGCCCUGCCCGGUUCGGAGCUGCCUCUGAGGAAGGGAGGCAAAGCGGAGAGGUAGUUAGAGGCGCGGGGGGGCGGGGAAUGGGUGGGGCAGUGGGAGGAGCUGGCGGGGCGGGGCCUGCGGGGCGGGGCCAAGGCGGAGGGGGCGGGGCUUGCGGGCGAGCACAGCGCUUGAGAGGACGGUGGGCAUCUCUGGGGCCCGGCAGGGACUGCUGGAUGAAGAGGACGAGGAGGGAUCUUGGAAGAAGGGAAGGAGCCUCAGGGAAGGGGAGGGGCUGGUCUAGGAGAGGGAAGAGCGCCGUGUGGAACACCUGGGCUUUAGGAGCAACAGGUGGAGUGCGUGCUUGA
rnacentral:lncRNA from 1 species